rnacentral:tmRNA from 1 species
GGGGGUGACUUGGCUUCGACAGAAAUGGAUUGGUCAAGGUGGCAUGCCGCUUCGGAUAUAGCGUAUAAAAUCCAAAUUAAAAUUAAACGCAAAUAACAAAAAUUUUGCUCCUGCUUACGCAAAAGUAGCGUAAUCGCAGUCGAGCCCUGCACUGCGCCCAUACUAUCUAAGCGCAGUAGCGGGUAAUCCUAGAUAGCGUAGUUUUGCGCUCUGACGAGGCGCGGGGCGAAAUUUAGUCUUUGCUUUGGCGAUUUGUUUUGGAAAGUGAGCAAGCCGGGGCGAGAAUUUCACUUUUGCUAAGCAUGUAGAGGCUUUGGUCGUUUGUUUUUGGACUGCGGUUCGAUCCCGCACACCUCCACCA